GGAAUAGGAGCACUGCUCGUAAGGUGACCGGCAGGAGAGGAAAGGGAAGACUCCUUAAGAUUUUCCGGAGAGGUCCGAGCUGGCUGCAUUUAGUUUUCAGGAAACUGGAUUGUGCUUUUACUGCUUUAAUUUUGGGAAAUUUUGAGGAGUCUUACAUUUCUAAUCCUCCAGUCAUCGAUCCAUUUUGGCGUUGAAAAUUGGUAGGGAUAAAAGGCAACUCAUUUCCUGGCCUUUGACAAUCUAGUUAAGUAUCUGACUGACAGGAUGUUGGCACCAGCU